GUAUGCUCAUGGAUCCUCUGAUCUGCUUGGUAUUCAGAUUGAUGCUGCAAUAAACCCUGGAAACAGUGGUGGUCCUGCCUUCAAUGAUCGUGGUGAGUGUAUUGGUGUGGCAUUCCAGGUUUUCAGAUCCGAAGACACUGAAAAUAUUGGAUAUGUUAUUCCAACCACUGUGGUUUCUCAUUUUCUUGAUGAUUAUGAAAGAAAUGGGAAGUAUACUGGAUUUCCUUCUCUUGGGGUAUUACUUCAGAAAUUGGAGAAUCCAGCAUUGCGGGCAUGCUUAAAAGUACCUUCUAAUGAGGUAUUUAUGUUGAUUUUCUAGA